UUAAGCGACUAAGCGUACACGGUGGAUGCCCUGGCAGUCAGAGGCGAUGAAGGACGUGCUAAUCUGCGAUAAGCGUCGGUAAGGUGAUAUGAACCGUUAUAACCGGCGAUUUCCGAAUGGGGAAACCCAGUGUGUUUCGACACACUAUCAUUAACUGAAUCCAUAGGUUAAUGAGGCGAACCGGGGGAACUGAAACAUCUAAGUACCCCGAGGAAAAGAAAUCAACCGAGAUUCCCCCAGUAGCGGCGAGCGAACGGGGAGCAGCCCAGAGCCUGAAUCAGUGUGUGUGUUAGUGGAAGCGUCUGGAAAGGCGCGCGAUACAGGGUGACAGCCCCGUACACAAAAAUGCACAUGCUGUGAGCUCGAUGAGUAGGGCGGGACACGUGGUAUCCUGUCUGAAUAUGGGGGGACCAUCCUCCAAGGCUAAAUACUCCUGACUGACCGAUAGUGAACCAGUACCGUGAGGGAAAGGCGAAAAGAACCCCGGCGAGGGGAGUGAAAAAGAACCUGAAACCGUGUACGUACAAGCAGUGGGAGCACGCUUAGGCGUGUGACUGCGUACCUUUUGUAUAAUGGGUCAGCGACUUAUAUUCUGUAGCAAGGUUAACCGAAUAGGGGAGCCGAAGGGAAACCGAGUCUUAACUGGGCGUUAAGUUGCAGGGUAUAGACCCGAAACCCGGUGAUCUAGCCAUGGGCAGGUUGAAGGUUGGGUAACACUAACUGGAGGACCGAACCGACUAAUGUUGAAAAAUUAGCGGAUGACUUGUGGCUGGGGGUGAAAGGCCAAUCAAACCGGGAGAUAGCUGGUUCUCCCCGAAAGCUAUUUAGGUAGCGCCUCGUGAAUUCAUCUCCGGGGGUAGAGCACUGUUUCGGCAAGGGGGUCAUCCCGACUUACCAACCCGAUGCAAACUGCGAAUACCGGAGAAUGUUAUCACGGGAGACACACGGCGGGUGCUAACGUCCGUCGUGAAGAGGGAAACAACCCAGACCGCCAGCUAAGGUCCCAAAGUCAUGGUUAAGUGGGAAACGAUGUGGGAAGGCCCAGACAGCCAGGAUGUUGGCUUAGAAGCAGCCAUCAUUUAAAGAAAGCGUAAUAGCUCACUGGUCGAGUCGGCCUGCGCGGAAGAUGUAACGGGGCUAAACCAUGCACCGAAGCUGCGGCAGCGACGCUUAUGCGUUGUUGGGUAGGGGAGCGUUCUGUAAGCCUGUGAAGGUGUACUGUGAGGUAUGCUGGAGGUAUCAGAAGUGCGAAUGCUGACAUAAGUAACGAUAAAGCGGGUGAAAAGCCCGCUCGCCGGAAGACCAAGGGUUCCUGUCCAACGUUAAUCGGGGCAGGGUGAGUCGACCCCUAAGGCGAGGCCGAAAGGCGUAGUCGAUGGGAAACAGGUUAAUAUUCCUGUACUUGGUGUUACUGCGAAGGGGGGACGGAGAAGGCUAUGUUGGCCGGGCGACGGUUGUCCCGGUUUAAGCGUGUAGGCUGGUUUUCCAGGCAAAUCCGGAAAAUCAAGGCUGAGGCGUGAUGACGAGGCACUACGGUGCUGAAGCAACAAAUGCCCUGCUUCCAGGAAAAGCCUCUAAGCAUCAGGUAACAUCAAAUCGUACCCCAAACCGACACAGGUGGUCAGGUAGAGAAUACCAAGGCGCUUGAGAGAACUCGGGUGAAGGAACUAGGCAAAAUGGUGCCGUAACUUCGGGAGAAGGCACGCUGAUAUGUAGGUGAAGCGACUUGCUCGUGGAGCUGAAAUCAGUCGAAGAUACCAGCUGGCUGCAACUGUUUAUUAAAAACACAGCACUGUGCAAACACGAAAGUGGACGUAUACGGUGUGACGCCUGCCCGGUGCCGGAAGGUUAAUUGAUGGGGUCAGCGCAAGCGAAGCUCUUGAUCGAAGCCCCGGUAAACGGCGGCCGUAACUAUAACGGUCCUAAGGUAGCGAAAUUCCUUGUCGGGUAAGUUCCGACCUGCACGAAUGGCGUAAUGAUGGCCAGGCUGUCUCCACCCGAGACUCAGUGAAAUUGAACUCGCUGUGAAGAUGCAGUGUACCCGCGGCAAGACGGAAAGACCCCGUGAACCUUUACUAUAGCUUGACACUGAACAUUGAGCCUUGAUGUGUAGGAUAGGUGGGAGGCUUUGAAGUGUGGACGCCAGUCUGCAUGGAGCCGACCUUGAAAUACCACCCUUUAAUGUUUGAUGUUCUAACGUUGACCCGUAAUCCGGGUUGCGGACAGUGUCUGGUGGGUAGUUUGACUGGGGCGGUCUCCUCCUAAAGAGUAACGGAGGAGCACGAAGGUUGGCUAAUCCUGGUCGGACAUCAGGAGGUUAGUGCAAUGGCAUAAGCCAGCUUGACUGCGAGCGUGACGGCGCGAGCAGGUGCGAAAGCAGGUCAUAGUGAUCCGGUGGUUCUGAAUGGAAGGGCCAUCGCUCAACGGAUAAAAGGUACUCCGGGGAUAACAGGCUGAUACCGCCCAAGAGUUCAUAUCGACGGCGGUGUUUGGCACCUCGAUGUCGGCUCAUCACAUCCUGGGGCUGAAGUAGGUCCCAAGGGUAUGGCUGUUCGCCAUUUAAAGUGGUACGCGAGCUGGGUUUAGAACGUCGUGAGACAGUUCGGUCCCUAUCUGCCGUGGGCGCUGGAGAACUGAGGGGGGCUGCUCCUAGUACGAGAGGACCGGAGUGGACGCAUCACUGGUGUUCGGGUUGUCAUGCCAAUGGCACUGCCCGGUAGCUAAAUGCGGAAGAGAUAAGUGCUGAAAGCAUCUAAGCACGAAACUUGCCCCGAGAUGAGUUCUCCCUGACUCCUUGAGAGUCCUGAAGGAACGUUGAAGACGACGACGUUGAUAGGCCGGGUGUGUAAGCGCAGCGAUGCGUUGAGCUAACCGGUACUAAUGAACCGUGAGGCUUAACCUU
rnacentral:rRNA from 3 species